GUUAAUUCUCAGGUCUCUCUUCUUGGCUUGUUGGUGGCAUCUUCUCCCUGUGUCCUCCCAGGGUCAUCCCUCAGUGUGUGUUGUUGUCUGUGUCCUAAUCACCCUUUUUUUUUCUUUUUUUUUUUUUUUUACUAAGGACAUCAGUCAGAUUAGAUUAGGGCCCACCCAGAUGACCUCAUUUUACUUUACCUCUUUGAAGGCCCUAUCUCCAAAUGUAGUCACCCUGGGGCUUAGGACUUCACCAUAUGAAUGUCGGGGCGGGGCACGAUUCAGCCCAUUGCUCCAGUAACUGGCUCAGACAUGGGCAUGUGACCCACAUCUGGCCAAAGUGCUGGGAUUACAGGUGUGAGCAGUGGGAAGGUUUUGGCUCACUGGUGCCCACCACCAUGCCCGGCUAAUUUUGUCCGCUGGAGGGGAGUGCUGGCUUGCCUCUGGGGAAACUCUUCUUUCCUAAGGGAAAGCACAGAAAGAGCGCUCUCCUCCUUCUUUGAAUGUUGUCAUGUUGAGAUUUGAUACUGGACCCACUGCAGCCAAGCUGAGGCCUGCCUGAGUGGGGAGCUGACCCACUGGAGAUGAGGUGGUGAAUUAGUAGACCCUGAAGCCUCCUCCAAGCUGUCCUGUGGGUU
rnacentral:lncRNA from 1 species